rnacentral:rRNA from 1 species
AGAGUUUGAUCCUGGCUCAGAUUGAACGCUGGCGGAAUGCUUUACACAUGCAAGUCGAACGGCAGCACGGGAGCUUGCUCCUGGCGGCGAGUGGCGAACGGGUGAGUAAUACAUCGGAACGUGCCCUGUGAUGGGGGAUAACUACGCGAAAGCGUAGCUAAUACCGCAUACGACCUACGGGUGAAAGUGGGGGAUCGCAAGACCUCACGUUAUUCGAGCGGCCGACGUCUGAUUAGCUAGUUGGUGGGGUAAUGGCCUACCAAGGCGACGAUCAGUAGCGGGUCUGAGAGGAUGAUCCGCCACACUGGAACUGAGACACGGUCCAGACUCCUACGGGAGGCAGCAGUGGGGAAUUUUGGACAAUGGGGGCAACCCUGAUCCAGCCAUUCCGCGUGAGUGAAGAAGGCCUUCGGGUUGUAAAGCUCUUUCAGCGGGAACGAAACGGUAGUCUCUAACAUAGGCUGCUAAUGACGGUACCCGCAGAAGAAGCACCGGCUAACUACGUGCCAGCAGCCGCGGUAAUACGUAGGGUGCGAGCGUUAAUCGGAAUUACUGGGCGUAAAGCGUGCGCAGGCGGACUGUUAAGCAAGAUGUGAAAUCCCGGGGCUUAACCUGGGAAUGGCAUUUUGAACUGGCAGUCUAGAGUGUGUCAGAGGGGGGUGGAAUUCCACGUGUAGCAGUGAAAUGCAUAGAUAUGUGGAGGAACACCAAUGGCGAAGGCAGCCCCCUGGGAUAACACUGACGCUCAUGUACGAAAGCGUGGGUAGCAAACAGGAUUAGAUACCCUGGUAGUCG